AGUCGAGCGGUAGAGAGAAGCUUGCUUCUCUUGAGAGCGGCGGACGGGCCCACUAAUGCCUAGGAAUCUGCCUAGUGGUGGGGGAUAACGUUCGGAAACGGACGCUAAUACCGCAUACGUCCUACGGGAGAAAGCGGGGGACCUUCGGGCCUCGCGCCAUUAGAUGAGCCUAGGUCGGAUUAGCUAGUUGGUGAGGUAAUGGCUCACCAAGGCGACGAUCCGUAACUGGUCUGAGAGGAUGAUCAGUCACACUGGAACUGAGACACGGUCCAGACUCCUACGGGAGGCAGCAGUGGGGAAUAUUGGACAAUGGGCGAAAGCCUGAUCCAGCCAUGCCGCGUGUGUGAAGAAGGUCUUCGGAUUGUAAAGCACUUUAAGUUGGGAGGAAGGGUAGUAACUUAAUACGUUGCUACUUUGACGUUACCGACAGAAUAAGCACCGGCUAACUUCGUGCCAGCAGCCGCGGUAAUACGAAGGGUGCAAGCGUUAAUCGGAAUUACUGGGCGUAAAGCGCGCGUAGGUGGUUCAGUAAGUUGGAAGUGAAAUCCCCGGGCUCAACCUGGGAACUGCUUUCAAAACUGCUGAGCUAGAGUACGGUAGAGGGUGGUGGAAUUUCCUGUGUAGCGGUGAAAUGCGUAGAUAUAGGAAGGAACACCAGUGGCGAAGGCGACCACCUGGACUGAUACUGACACUGAGGUGCGAAAGCGUGGGGAGCAAACAGGAUUAGAUACCCUGGUAGUCCACGCCGUAAACGAUGUCAACUAGCCGUUGGGAGUCUUGAACUCUUAGUGGCGCAGCUAACGCAUUAAGUUGACCGCCUGGGGAGUAC
rnacentral:rRNA from 1 species